CCUACGGGGGGCUGCAGUGGGGAAUAUUGGACAAUGGGGGGAACCCUGAUCCAGCCAUGCCGCGUGUGUGAAGAAGGCCCUCGGGUUGUAAAGCACUUUCAGUGAGGAAGAACGCCUGGUGGUUAAUACCCAUCAGGAAAGACAUCACUCACAGAAGAAGCACCGGCUAACUCCGUGCCAGCAGCCGCGGUAAUACGGAGGGUGCGAGCGUUAAUCGGAAUUACUGGGCGUAAAGCGCGCGUAGGUGGCUUGAUAAGCCGGUUGUGAAAGCCCCGGGCUCAACCUGGGAACGGCAUCCAGAACUGUCAAGCUAGAGUGCAGGAGAGGAAGGUAGAAUUCCCGGUGUAGCGGUGAAAUGCGUAGAGAUCGGGAGGAAUACCAGUGGCGAAGGCGGCCUUCUGGACUGACACUGACACUGAGGUGCGAAAGCGUGGGUAGCAAACAGGAUUAGAUACCCUUGUAGUC
rnacentral:rRNA from 1 species